GGCCAUGUUGCCUAAUGGAUAAGGUGUCUGACUUCGGAUCAGAAGAUUGUAGGUUCGUGUCCUACCAUGGUCG